UCCUUGGAGGACUAGUGGUUGGGCCACAGCGCUCUCACCACUGUGGCUGGGGUUCAACUCCCAGCCAGGGAA
rnacentral:tRNA from 1 species